AACAUAGACUAACCUGAAUGGCUUUGGCUUGAGCCCUCAAAUCCUUGGUCAAACAAUGGGCAUAAAGCACUGAAAUUCCUAAAUGGCUUGAGCCCUAUUAUCCAUACCUUUUGGUUUCAGUCCAUGCCUUUCAGUCAACACAUGUAGUCUAGUCAAAAGCUAUAUCCUCAUGUAAAUCAAGAUUAAAAUAAAAAAUUAAAUCAUGAUUAAUAUAAGAGACUAAGAAAACAGAAAAUACGCAAUUAAGGAGAUUAAUUGAAACAAGUAUUCUUGUAACAAAUAGUUGAAAUUGAAUUAGAAUAAUGCUAGCAAAAUAGCUUUCCCAUCGGUUGAAUUUUAACAUUCACACCUUUCGUGUGCUUCAAGUAUAAUUUUCAAUAUAUCAUAAAUGUAUUCAAUAUUAAAAUAAUCACAUUGAACAAUAUAAUGCAUAAAAAAAGAGUAUUCUCAUCGAGAAGUAUGUACAAAAUAAAUUCAAUAAAAGACCUAAAAUAAGUUAUAUAAUGAGCAAAAAAAAUAAGUCUUGCUAUGUUUAAAAUUUCAUAAAAUAUUGAAAGCAUACUUAUUUCUUAAUGAAACCUAAGCUGCAGAUUUAAAUAAANNNNNNNNNNNNNNNNNNNNNNNNNNNNNNNNNNNNNNUAUUAGAAAUCAGUUAAAUUGAUCAUAAAACAUGAACACAAAUUGACAAAGAAAAAAUAAGUGCAGAAAAUUGGGAGAAAGACGAUACUAAUGAAAGCAAACAAAAUAAUCAUAAUAUCUAUUUUACCCUUGGAUUUUAGGAUUUUCUCAAAUUGGAUUUCAUCCAUACUCUUUAAACCCCAUUUCUCAAACUGCGUAGUUAUAGGCAUAGUAUUUUCUCUGAUUAAUUCUGAUUAUAUUUUUCNNNNNNNAAAAUUUGAUGAAGAAACAUGAAAAUAAUUAUCAUUAGCAAAACAAUUAAGCUCUUACCCCUGUCUGACUUUUUAGAGCAGUAAAGCAUCCAACUUUCGAAAUCAACAAAAAUCUCU
rnacentral:lncRNA from 1 species